rnacentral:rRNA from 1 species
UACGUAGGGGGCAAGCGUUGUCCGGAUUUAUUGGGCGUAAAGCGCGUGUAGGCGGCCAAGUAGGUCAGCUGUGAAAACUUGAGGCUACAACCUCAAGCUGUCGGUUGAAACCACUUGGCUAGAGUCCGGAAGAGGAGAGUGGAAUUCCUGGUGUAGCGGUGAAAUGACGCAGAUAUCAGGAGGAACACCGGUGGCGAAGGCGGGUCUCUGGGCCGAUACUGACGCUGAGGAGCGAAAGCGUGGGGGAGCGAACAGG